UUCACAAAACUUUUCAUUGUUGCUUCUUGGUAACACAAAAAAAUCGUUUAUUGUAAUUGUAAUUUAUUAAAUACAUACGGGAACCUUUUCGUUAAAACUUUUACAAGAUCAAGGAAUCUACAUUAGGAGUGAACUUAUACAGAAUCUGCAGCCGAGUUUCAGUUCGCGACAAAUGAAGAUGUUUACCUUUCUUGCAGUCGAACCGCGAUUGGCGUGUAGCGGAUUAAUAUCAAUUAUAUUACGAAAUUUCGCAUGAUUUAUGCAAGAGCCUGAAAGGUAUGGCGCAGGUAGACUGGUAAGUAGAGGAGACGAUGGGAACAGAAGUGCCGGUGGAUCGCCAGAAGCUUGGAAUACUGCCAGAAAUUGCCCUGUGCCGUGUUGUUUCCGUUGUUUCGGUGUUUAUAGGCAAAUCAAGCUGGCAAAGGUUGUGUGGGGAACCAGCUACUUGACUUAGCUAACUAAAUUCAUGGUUUAGUUAGCGGACAAGUGGCCAGUGUUUUUCCAAAAAUGCCACUCCAAUUGAGGAAUUCGUCAUAUUUCACAGGUAACGGUCGAAAAGUUAGAGUAUUAGCAACUGCUAAGUCAACGCGUAUCGGUUAGCAUUAAUAUCCCCCCAGCGAUCUCAUCUACGAAUGUGACAUCGCCUCCUCAUCAGCCGUAGAAAGCAACGGAACGAAACGCUGUAAAGAAUGAACCAAAUUCACAGAAUCUCCUACAUCCAACUGCUUCCAGAACCGGUCUCCAAUCAACGUAAUUCCCUGACUAGUGGUGAUAUUCGUGCUAUACAGAGACAUAAACCGAACAAGCCUCCAUCGAGGGCAGUUUUCGGUAGCCAUUCCGCCUCCACAACGGGAACAAAGUAUAACAACUUCCCGCGUUUCAGUAGCAACGACAAAUUCAAUGGCUACAUCCUUGCCUACAUCACCUCAUACGACCAACUCUAACAGUGUCAUUAACAAGAUCACGACAGAUAUUUGUGAGUACUCCUUGCAAGUAGUUGCAUUAAGAAGGAUGGACCUCCACCACCACGGCCAGUUCAACACCGUCAUACAAGCAGAAGCUUGAUUUAAAACAAGUUUAGGCCAAAUACAGCCAGUGAAGCUAGUGUUGAGAAAGAUAAGAGUUUCAGUUGUAGAAAAGUUGUGCACCAAAUCUAUCCAAACACGUGAAAAGAGCAUAAGUCCAAAUGACAGCCUGUGUUCACUUUCUCUUUAGAUUAUUAUGGUGCUAUCAUAAAACUCCAACAUUGUUUCAGUACAUAUAGAAAGUCUGAUUUCAUCUCGCUUAUUAUGGUAAGAGUUAAGGAGCAAACGUAAAAGUGGCCGAGUUAUUGACGAAAAAGAAAGUAAACAAAGACUCUCAUUUGCGCUUAGGCCCUUGUCACAUGUUUAUCUAGAAAUAUAUCCUUUCUUGGUUGUUCUGCUCUUGAGUCGUUGUACAAAUUUGACCGAUAGCUUUAGUGGUACCAGUGAAAGCGUUGGUGGUAACAGAACAAUCAAAAUGAUAACAUAAGCAAUUUAGGUAAUGUGAUAUUGGCGACGUCUGACCACAUCAGUGAAGACUCCUGGACGAGGAACAGUUACUGUGAUAGUAUCAAAACUAAUGUUGGUAGCAGCAGUAAUACUAGUGCCAAUAGUAAUAAUUCGACUAGUUUUUCACUAAUGUCGUUAAAAAUGAGAACGUUGUCAAGUUCAAUGGAUACUAAAAAACAAACGGCCAGAGAGAAGUUUGUUCAAACUGCACUCAAUUGAUCAUAGUUAAACAAAAUGCGUAUUCCAUGCUCGAAUGCGGUAGGUGAUUAUCUAAGCCAUUUCGACGUACUGAACUUAGAACAUGAUACCAAACUGUCGGUGGUUGAAGUCGCAUUCUUUCAAUCAAUACGAUAUCACCUCAACGUAUGGUUCAUCUAAAUUUGAAAACUUGCUCCAGUGGAUGCUUCUACGCUCAAUACAGAUAAAGACAAGUCUGAACCAGACGAUAGCCUUGAUGAUGGAAACGAUCAUCCAAUGGAGGAGAAAGGUGAUGAAGUAGCCGAAUUCUUCGAAAAUUUUAAAUGCUUAAAAAACUAUCGACAGACGUGAGUGAAUUAAACGAUAUUCGAUCGGAAGUCCAGCACAGAGUGUUCCGCCGAUGGGAGUAGUAAAUCGGCUUCUGAGAGCGUUUCCAAGGCAGAUGACUUCCCUGUUGAAGGCCAAUGUACUGUGGGGAAUAGGAGUUAUGGAUAAAGGAGUGAAAGUAACCGUUUUUGACACGCACGUACCCACCAUGGUUUGUCAAUGAACCAUCCUCAUUUUAAGUCAGUGUAAGAACCAUUUGGACCAACGAAAAAACACCUAGUAGGACGAAGCCCGGCUGGUGAACAACGGUUGUGGUGUCCGGUUCCGCAACAAUCACGAAAUAAACAACUUCGUAAUAGGACGACUAAACUAAGGCAGCUAGAAGGUGGCAUGGAGGAGUUUACUCAAGGUUACAAGUAUGUGGAUUUCAUAUUGCUCUCAACAACAGUAUAGUGGAAAGUGAAUGGGCUCCAGAAGCGCAGCAGCUUAUUUUUAACCUGUGAUUUUAAUAACUGGCAAUGGGAAGCCACGCCGUACAAAAAACUUCCAUUUGGUAAAUGGGAACUAAUUCUACUUCCAAACGCUGAUCGGUCCUCUGCUAUAAAGUACUUUUCCGAAAUAAAGGUGAUAGUGCGGAAGUAAGAUGAUCAGCUAGUGAAUCCACUAUCGCCAUGGGCAAAGUAUAUCGAAUAUCUAUACAGAGAUCAGCAGCGAAUAUGGCAUACACCAGCUCAUGAAAAGUAUACGUCCCGACAACGCCCAGACCCCGAGUACUCCGUUUAUAAGAGCACAACGUAGCCAUCGCCACUGAAGUACUUUGUGUUGGAAUAUAUAAAAACUUUGCAAAUAACAUUGUACUUAGAAUCAAAGAUUUCAAAUACAACACCAUUCAGGCGAUGGUUAUCAUGGAGCUUGUCUAUUGUGCCAGUUUUGGCCAUUAGAUAACAAGUUUCUUCGCUGACAGUAGCCACUAUGGCACGCCAGAGGAGUUGAAAUAGGUGGUUGAUAAAGCACAUGGCCAGGUCUCUUCGUGUUGCGGAAUGUGGAAUUCUCAUGACAGCAAGGACACCCAGGACGGAUGAAACCAGUUUGAUGGAACCAACUCGUACUACUUCUCUGGUGGCUCUCGAGAUGAACACAUUUUAUAGGACAUCUAUUUGUUUAUUUAGAUUAAGUUAUUGCUUUGAAAAAUCUAUGUUUCCACGGAAAAAUAAUAAAAUUUUGUUUGAACAGAUAUGAGGUCCUUCGCAUUUUGCUAUCGAAUCUACGCUGGCUUUGAUUUAUUUAGCCACGGCGACCGAAUUCUUGCACAAGUUGAAUCCCAAUGUGAUCACAAUUGAGGACGUGAGCGGUACUUUGUCGACCCACUGGAACGAGGCCGCGUUCGCGCUGGAUACCGGCAGAUUGAAGCUAGGCGAUAAAGCGGUCUUGGCCGUCGAAUCGACAAUCGUUGAACACUACAAUGACCAGCUGCAUCAGCUAAUGCAGGGUCCAAAUUGCAUGGGACAGGAGUUGCUUGCGGUCAUCACCAAAUGCCAGGACGAUGAGCAGGAACAUCACGACAC